CGAAACUCUCAACCCCGCUUCAUGCUUUAUUGCUAGAAGUAGUUUGGGUUUGGAUCAUGAUCUUUGCAAUUGGCCCUGGCUGCCGAAUGCUGGAUUGAAAUACAACAAGCUGAAUCUAUAAACUUGCGGCUUGACCUGUCGUUGUAAGCAGUAAAAUGCAUUCGAUGGGGACGCAAGAGAAUAGAACGAGCUUUCCAAAUUGCUCAAUCACUAUUCGUAACUGAAUUAGUGCA
rnacentral:misc_RNA from 1 species